GGUCUCCUCCACGCCGAGCCUCGGAGAGCAGGGGCUUUGCUUUUCCGGCUGAGGUGUUCAAUAAACAUCUCUUAAACAAAGGAGUGCGCAAGUGAGAUAAUAUAAGGUAAGUGCUUGCCACUAUACGAAUGUACAGAAAGGAAGAUGUUAUUAUUUUACUUCAGCCCCAUAUUUAAUUAUAAAGCAUUUGUGAGCAAAGCUGAUUAACACUGAUUUCUAAUUUCUAGCGUGAGACAUGACGCUUGGGAGACAAGCUGUAAAUGAGACGUGGGGCUUAUGUUUUCGGUAGGUGAGAUUUAAUGUACACAAGGGUAAGAGUAGGAAACAAAAGUAAUUCGAAGUUAAAUAUGGUCUUUUUGGUUAAAUUCUACGGGUUCUGGGAGGAGGGCAAUACCAUUUCCUGCUGAGGUGAGUUUGCUCACCCAUUGCCAUAAUCACAAUCGUAAUAAAAAUAACAUUAAUAACUACAAUUGAUCGAGCUCUUUGAGGCGGACAUCGGGUUAGGCAUUUUGGAUCCAAUUUCUCAUUUAAUCCUCACGACCAUCUUGAGGGAGCGCAUUUUACCCGUGUUUUACGGGGGACUGAAGCUUAAGGAGCAGUAACUUGCCCAGGUCACGUGGCUAGGAAGAGACAAGGUCAGGUCAGAGCCACAAGAGGGCGCUCUUCCCCUUUCUAUUCUAUGUUGUCCUGUGGUUCCCGCUUUUCCUCAGGGGCACCUUCCACAAAUGUAAAAACCCCACAUAAACAUCUUGUUUCUCUGUCUUCCUCCUCCCCAGUGUCUCUCUCUCCUCUCAGUCUGUUUGUCUCCUCUCAGUUUCUCUCUCCCUUUCCUUACUUGUUUUUUGUCUCUCUCUUCCUCCUUGUUUUCUGUUUAUUUAUCUAUUUCAGGGGAUGGGCAGCCUUGGGAAUAUGGGCUGUAGGUAGGAAGAGAACAUUUCUGGAACUGAAAAUUAUGCUGCAUCUUGUCUAACGGGAAGCAAAAUUUUUGAAUGUGGGAAUCUUGUAAAAUCUAGACGUUGGUCAUCAAUACACAUGGCAUGAAACUGUAAAACUAUGAGCAGCUGUGACAGAAUCUCGCUCUGUUGCGCAGGCUGGAGUACAGUGGUGUGAUCCGGGCUCACUACAACCUCUGCCUCCCAGGUUCAAGCGAUUCUUCUGCCUGGGACUACAGGAGAGGAGGAUGGCUGAUGAAGGUUCUUUCCCUCCACCUAGAAAGAUUUAAAGAGUACUGACCUGUCUUCGUCUGUUUUCUGUUGCUGUAACAGAGUACCAUGAACCAGGUACCACCACCCUCCUACACCAUCCCUACUCUCUGCCUCUGGAUCUCUGAGAACCUUACGUUAUGAGUGAAUGUGUGUGGAGGGGGAUUGUCCACUGGAGUCGUCAGAUAAUGACUAAGUCUGGGGGCUCACGUGGGCAUCAGUCCUGUGGAUGGUCACUGGGCAGUGUGCUGGCUACUGUUGAUCAAAGGUCCUGCCCAGAUGCCAGAGGGAAGGAUGACUAUUGUGACUCCUCAGCUCUGGCCAUGUAGAACACUAAUGGAGUCUGGAGUAUCUGACUAUCUGUAGCACUGACUCAGUUCUGUUUGUCUCCCUGGUGCUGGGGGUGACUGCUUAGAGGAGGUGGGGCGUGGGGGUGUAUCUCUGGAUGCUGUCUGUGUUUCUGUCCACAUGGUCUCUCCAAAUAAAGGCCCUUUGUGAAUUGCCCUCAUCACUUUUCUUUCAUUGCUGUCAUUCUAGGAGUGGGAACAACUGUGCCCAAUCACAUAUAUUCUUAAAUCUUUUCACCAUAUUCUUGUGAGGUAAAAAUUGCUAGUGCUCACUCAUACCUGGUUCUCCUUUCCUCCCUGGCACAAGUGAAGUUGAAACUUACCAGCCCAUCUUGUAGUUAGGUGGAGCCAUGUGACCUGUUCUAGCCAAUACAAUUUGAAUGGGAAUAGUAUUUCAUAUUUCCAGGCUGUUAGGGACUGAAUUGUCUCACCCCAUCCCCUCAACCCCAUUGAAGCCCUAACUUCAAUGGGAUUGUAUUUGGAGACAGUCUUUAAACAAGUAAUUAAGGUUAUAAUGGUGAGGCCCUAAUCCAAUUGACUGGUGUCCUUAUAAGAAAAGAAAGAAACAGUAGGGAUCUGCACACUUCAUGUGAGCAUGCAGAGAGUAGGUGGCCAUCGGCAAGCCACGGAGAGAAGCCUCCGGAGAAACCAAAUCUCUCACACCUUGAUCUCGGACUUCCAGCCUCCAGAGCUGUGAGAAAUAAAUUUCUGUUGUUUGAGCCACCCAGUCUACAGCAUUUUAUUAUGGCAGCCCUAGCUGACUGAUAUACAGGCUGAGGAAUUUAACAGUGAGUGUGAGUUCUCCAUUCUCUCUUCCUCUCUUUAUUGACCUUCAGGGGAUCUGUAUUCCAGAUGAUGUUGCUAAAAGCUAGAAUGGGGAGGCCCAACCCAAAUAACUUUUCUUGUGCCAAUCCACUGAUAUUUCUGGUUCAGUUUUGCCGUAGUAUAGCCCAGCAUUCAUCAGGCAGACCAACUCAACCUGUACCUCGCCUUUGAAAACAAAAGCUAAGCAUGUGACCAUUUGGCUCUGCAAUUCCAUGGGAUGAAUCCUCCUUCAGGCAAUGGAUGCCUCCUGUUUGGAUGCAUGAAUGGGGUUGACUCACAACAUAAUUGAGAAUAUCAGGGUAAAAGAGUUGGUUAAUUGAUCGCAAUAUUAUAGUGCUACAAUUACAUAGGGCCCCAAGCAAUCUAAGCGGUUUCCUCUUAGUGUUCAAACAGCCCU
rnacentral:lncRNA from 10 species